rnacentral:lncRNA from 1 species
AGUAAGAUUAUGCCCGAGACAACACACAGAUGGUGUAAAAUGGCACAUUUUGAAGAAGGCAAAGGAGUCGUUGGCGCCUCUGUAUACAAAGAAAAGUGACUUGUGGUGGCUAGCAUGCGUGUUCACCAAAAUAAAGAGACGCCUGAACUAAUCGGGGGAGAUAAUCUUAGUACAAAAAUUCAUAGAUAAAAAAUGAUUGCCCACAUAAUGGGCUGACAAAAAAGAUUAACAUAGAUCACAUCGUUGGAUUAAUAUACACAAAAGAGUACACUAGUACGUUGGCACACUGGGGCUGCCUAGUACAAGGAUUAAGUUGGUUCCGGCCAACAGCAGCGCUGUGCGGUUGCUGUCAGCGGAGCAGCACUGCGGUGCGGCGGCGCUGAGAGGGCUCGCUUGCUGCAUGUGCGGCUGCAGGCGUGCAUGAGCUGCUUGGAUUCCCCCCUGGUGCUGGCCGGGCUCGCUUGUUUUGUGUGCGGCUGGAGGCGCGCAUGAGCAGCCUGGAUGUCCACCUGGCUGCCGUCGACGAACUGGCGCUGGCGGUUGGAUCUAUGCUGAAGGACACCGGAUGGGUGCGCAGCUACAGAGCGUUGCAGCAUGUAUGGCUGGGUCAAACCAAGCUCCGGGAGGUAGGUCUCGGUCGAGUGAUUUCAUCCUGAGAUUAAAUGGAUAAGCAUUCGAUUUUUCUUAACAAGGAGUACUUACAUCUUUUCUGACCUACUUGUAGAAGCGUUGUCCAGCUCGGCAGACGAAGGUGACCACCUUAUCGCCACAACGUGGACAAGGGAUCAGCGGGAGCACCUCGUCAGGCUGCGAAGAAGAGGAGGAGGCCGCCAUUGUUUCCGAUCUGAUUCUCCCCGGAGAAGAUGAAGAGGACAAGCCGACAAGGGAAGGAG